GCUGGGCAUGGUGGUGCAUGCCUGUGAUCCCAGCACCUUGGGAGGCUGAGGCAGGAGGUUGGUAGCUUUAGCAACUUAGUGAGUCCUUGUCUCCA
rnacentral:sRNA from 1 species